rnacentral:lncRNA from 1 species
GUCCUGUCUUCGGGGAGAAACAUUCUAAAUCACCUGCCCUCUCUUCCUGGGGGGACCCAGUCCUGCUGAAGACAGAUGUGCCAUUGAGCUCAGCAGAAGAGGCAGAGUGCCACUGGGCAGACACAGAGCUGAACCGUCGCCGCCGGCGCUUCUGCAGCAAAGUUGAGGGCUAUGGAAGUGUAUGCAGCUGCAAGGACCCCACACCCAUCGAGUUCAGCCCUGACCCACUCCCAGACAACAAGGUCCUCAAUGUGCCUGUGGCUGUCAUUGCAGGGAACCGACCCAAUUACCUGUACAGGUAAGCCUGGGAAUGGGCUAUACCCAGCACUGAACAGGAGGGUGCUUAGGUCAUCUACCUCCAGGAGGAACUCUUGAGGUGGGCAGAAAGGCAAUAGAUUCUAGACGCAUUCACCUCUGUGGGUAAGCAUAGGGACUCUGGGCCCAGCUGUAAACACAGGGGAACCUGAGUUGAGGGGUGAUGAAGUGACCCUAACCUAUCCCUGGGCUCCCCAGGAUGCUGCGCUCUCUGCUUUCAGCCCAGGGGGUGUCUCCUCAGAUGAUAACAGUUUUCAUUGACGGCUACUAUGAGGUGAGCAGGACUUGGGGGGUGCCUCGGGUGGAGUACAACAUGGAGCAGCAGUGAUUGCCAGGGACGGGCAAGGGAGACCGCCCAGGCAAGGGCUGUGAAAUGUGAAGGCCUUGGAUUGCAGAGGUGGGCAGAGGGAAAGUGACCUCACAUGGUGAGCAGUGGCCAUGUCCCCCAGGAACCC